rnacentral:rRNA from 1 species
CCCAGUAACGGCGAGUGAAGCGGCAACAGCUCAAAUUUGAAAUCUGGCUCUCGGGCCCGAGUUGUAAUUUGUAGAGGAUGCUUUUGGUGAGGUGCCUUCCGAGUUCCCUGGAACGGGACGCCAUAGAGGGUGAGAGCCCCGUCUGGUUGGACACCGAUCCUCUGUAAAGCUCCUUCGACGAGUCGAGUAGUUUGGGAAUGCUGCUCUAAAUGGGAGGUAUAUGUCUUCUAAAGCUAAAUACCGGCCAGAGACCGAUAGCGCACAAGUAGAGUGAUCGAAAGAUGAAAAGAACUUUGAAAAGAGAGUUAAAAAGUACGUGAAAUUGUUGAAAGGGAAGCGCUUGUGACCAGACUUGGGCUUGGUUGAUCAUCCGGGGUUCUCCCCGGUGCACUCUUCCGGCUCAGGCCAGCAUCAGUUCGCCCUGGGGGAUAAAGGCUUCGGGAAUGUGGCUCUCUCCGGGGAGUGUUAUAGCCCGCUGCGUAAUACCCUGUGGCGGACUGAGGUUCGCGCAUUCGCAAGGAUGCUGGCGUAAUGGUCAUCAGUGACCCGUCUUGAAACACGGACCAAGGAGUCGUCUUCGUAUGCGAGUGUUCGGGUGUCAAACCCCUACGCGAAAUGAAAGUGAACGCAGGUGAGAGCUUCGGCGCAUCAUCGACCGAUCCUGAUGUUAUCGGAUGGAUUUGAGUAAGAGCAUACGGGGCCGGACCCGAAAGAAGGUGAACUAUGCCUGUGUAGGGUGAAGCCAGAGGAAACUCUGGUGGAGGCUCGCAGCGGUUCUGACGUGCAAAUCGAUCGUCAAACAUGGGCAUGGGGGCGAAAGACUAAUCGAACCUUCUAGUAGCUGGUUUCCGCCGAAGUUUCCCUCAGGAUAGCAGUGUUGAACUCAGUUUUAUGAGGUAAAGCGAAUGAUUAGGGACUCGGGGGCGCUAUUUAGCCUUCAUCCAUUCUCAAACUUUAAAUAUGUAAGAAGCCCUUGUUGCUUAAUUGAACG